GACAGGGGUCUCGAGCGUUAAUCGGAAUUACUGGGCUUAAAGGGUGCGUAGGCCGGCCCGCAAGUGCUUUGUGAAAUCCCCUGGCUCAACCAGGGAACUGCUUGGCAUACUGCGGGUCUUGAGGAAGGUAGGGGUUGCCAGAACUGUAGGUGGAGCGGUGAAAUGCGUAGAUAUCUACAGGAAUGCCGAUGGUGAAGACGGGCAACUGGGCCUUUCCUGACGCUGAGGCACGAAAGCGUGGGGAGCAAACAGG
rnacentral:rRNA from 1 species